rnacentral:misc_RNA from 1 species
CCGCUGAAGCACGUGCACAGCGCAUCACGCUGCGUCUCAGGAAUAGAAUCAGCUCAUACACGCACACACACACUUAACGCAUGCCCAUAGAUAUGCAUACACCUCUCUACCAUCAUAUACGCAUACACAUACAUUGAGUAACUGGGAAGCACGUGUCCGUCACCUUCUCUUUUCAACGCCGCCCACUUUCUCCGCUGCUCACUCUCCAGGUAUCCGACAAAGGCCCCAGAACGCCCAAAAGAAAAGAGGGAGGGGAGAGGAGCGAGAAAAAGGGCCGGGCGCCGUGCACAGACCCUCUGUCCGUGUGCGGCCAAGCGACCCCAUCUCGCCAUCGCCACCAGCACCCAUGAGUUACACCACCUCACACCUCUUUAACUUUCCUUCGUCGUCGUCUUGCACUCGCCCUCUUGCACACCUCUCUGCUGGUGCGCCUGUGAGCCCCAUGACAUCCACAGCCUCACUGGCAUCCCCUCCGAUGCAGCCGAGCUCUCCCCCGGCUGGGCCCUCUGUGGGCCCCCAACAGCUCGCGAAUCGACGUCAGAUCGUGCCUCUCCUAAGCAGCAGUGCCGGUGACGGCGAUGCCGUUGUGCCGCAGCCGUCGGCAGGCACGCCGGGGACGGUGCCGCGGAAAGCCUCCUACACCGCUAACCUCGAAGCGCAGGUGCGCGUCCUGGAGCAGGAGGUGCGCCUCCUGCGCACUGGACUGGAGCAGAACGAGAAACUGCGGCACGCCUCCGCAACUGCUGCGCCGCUGCCGCAACGCUCCCCAUCGUCGAAGCGAGUCCAUUUCGGCCCGUCAUCGGUCGUUGUGCUGUCCCAGCCACCACGGCCGGCGAGCGCGUCCUCCACUGUGGCCACGGAAGUAGACGGUCGUCCUCGCCUUGCGUUCGGGCAACGUGUCAGCGCGACGCACUCACGGAUCGCGGCACGCGGCCCUCCUCAUGCGGAUACUUUGCAAUCACGUCGCAUGGCAAGUCUCGGCAAGCCCGCCCGUACGAGCACGCGGUCUGCAUCAGUGUCCUCGUCCUCUCCUGCACCAGCUACCUCCACCACCUCAGUAAACCUCUCGCCGGCCCCCGCCUCCCUGCGCGGAGGCAACACCAACGGCAUCCCUCUGCAAGGUGCCGCCACUGGUGGUACGCUCGUCACCCCCGUCACCGCGGACGCGCAGCCUCCCGCCUCCUCACUCACUGGCCCCUCCUCUGUGUCUCCAGCGGCGGCGACGGUGUGGGCAUCGACUGACCCGAGCCUGCUCUGGCCACGCGCAGCAGCGGCCGCGACCGGCACUCUUGCGAACGCGUCGGAUCUUUCCCGCUACCCAUUCCGGGCCAUGACUACCUCCUCGCCGGCGGCAGCACCCACGCCAGUGAUUCCAGAGCCACCUGUCAUGAGUAGUGCGCAGGUCGUCAGCGCUCCUGUAGGUACAGCCAGCGCCGCUGCGUCACCCAUUGUAGUAGCGAUGAGCAGCGAGGGACAUCCCCUGACAUCCUUGCCGCAGCGAGCAACGCCCGCUUCAGGUCCGGUAACUGACGCAACGCCCUCCCCUGCUGCAGUGCCGGCCGCUCCGCCAGCGACCCCGCCACCUGCUGCAGACAUCGCACUCGCCGCUGCCAGCCCGCUUGCCCGUGCCACGGCGCUGCCUCCCUCCGUGAGUGCCACCGCUACGCCCGCAGGGUCUUCAUCCCCAGCUGCAGGGCCGGCCACAGUGGCACAACUAGAAACAGAAGUGCUGUCCCUGCGGGACGCGCUCGCGCAGCGAGAAGCCCUCUUGCACCGCGUGUUGCUGGAACUUCACGACAGAAACGGCAGCGGCGGCGCUUGCCGUCAGGGUUCGCCGGCGAGAGGAGAGACGCCACCGCGCCAACGUCAAGGCACCGGUGCAGCCGUGGCGGCGCCGGGGGAGAGGGAGCGACAGCAGAGCCGGCAGGCCAUGCGGAUUUUGACCGAAGAAUUGUUUGCCGUGCAGACCCAACUGAGCCACGCUCGAGCCUCGCAUCAGCUGGUCGUCGCUGAGCUUCAUACAUGUCGUCAGCAGGCUCAUCAAGUGCCGCCACUGCAGAAGCAGCGAGCAGCAGCAGCAGCACCAGAGGAGACUCCUCCUGCUGGGACGUCGCAGCCGUCGUCAGGCCCUCUCCAAAAGCAACUCGACGUCGCUCUCAAGAAGCUGAAAGCGUGGGAGGACUGGUAUGCGGCAAGCGCCACCGCAGCAGGAGAUGAAGCUGCGGGUGUCACCGCAGGCAACAGCAACGCUAUCCCCAGCGCGAAGGAUGCAUUCUCUUCGUCGCGGCAGCAGCCACCGUCGAAGGCGAACAAUGCAGAGCAGUCGGCUGGGGCAGCAGUGGCAACCACAGGCCCUCACAACAGGAAAGGCAGCCCCGAAAAAGAGAAGCGCGCGCACAAGACGACAGCACCGGGCUGGUGUCCGCACUGCGGCAUCGCCCUGCCAGCAGCACCAUCAGUUCUGAAAAAGAGUAGCAGGGUCGGCAGUGGGGUUGUGCCGUGCGGUGUCGGGCUGCCUGGGCUCGCACCGGCAUCCGCCACAUCCGAUCUUCCAGCCUACUACGCAUCUCUGUCCUCCCCCUCCGCACUCUUACCGCAGAGGCCGCAUGCUGCGGCACCAUCAGCGCCGUACGUGUCGGCAUACGCACUAGAUUCCGCCAUGUUCCACCACCUGACGAGCCAGUUCGGCGGCAGUGGCGCCGGGGUUAGCGGCAGCGCUGGAGCGGAGCCAGAGGCGGCAAACAAGAUGUCAGGCGGGGCGGCAACCCCACCGCCACCGCCGCCAGAGGCAGCGUCGUCGCCGUCCUCUCCCACGCAGGCUAAUGAAACCAAAGGCAAGUCGAGAAGUGCGCAUGUAUCGGAAAAAGCGUACGCGGCCACGGCGCAUCAAAACAGCCACACCGGUGCCUGUGGCGCGUCUCCGAUGUGGGCGGUGCCGAUAAGUGGGACCAGCACCGCCGGCGUGAGUGGUGUCAAAGGAGGUGCUCGUGAGAGAGCCAUGCAAGCUGCGUUCAUGGGCGGCAGAGCGGCGAGCGUCCCCUAUGUCUCCCCGUACUGCGACCGCCUCGACCACGCGCAGCAGCAGGCCUACCGCGCUCAGCGGUAUGUCACGCAGCUCGCCCGCGAAGCGGCGGUGCGGGAGCUCGCAGAGGCAGAACGGCAGGUGGCAGAGCAGCGCCUCUCCUUCUGGAAGCAUCAUCAUCCAAGCUCACACGACCUGUCCGCCACGUCACCAACUCCGCCUUCCCUCGCGUCGUGCUCCUCCACGCCAGGCGGGCCGCCCAGUGCAGCAGUGUGCAAACAAGAGGUUGUUGAGUGAGCGGAUGCCUGGAUGGUGUUCGCAUGGUGGGCGUCCUUCGCGUAGGCAUACGUACCGCCAAUAAACGCUCAGCUGAAGCGCAGUGAUGGCGUGAGAGACGACCAGCAGAGGGCUUGCGCGUACAUGCGUACGUCACGGUCGGUCUGGGGUGCGCAGGGACUACUCCCCCCCCUCCCUACCUCCAUCCCACCAUUGCUGCCCUUGAUGCUUGUUGGAAAGGGGGGAGUUUCUCUUGCGUUUUUUUUUUUAUAGAGAGAGAUGUCUGCGCUCGGUUACUUUGUUUAGCGUCUAGCACACGGAGAACGCGUCCGCCUGAUGGUGUCAACGCGCGCGUGACGGUGUGGAUGCGGCCACCGGCCAGAGCGAACCGACGCGCGUGGGAGCGCCAGAGGUGGAGCAGAGAGGAGGCGUAGAUGGGAACAGACACCCAUGUGUGUGCGUGGGCGUGCGUAUAGGGCGGGUAAGUGAGCGUGAGGGAUGCUUGUGCAGACGGUAGUGGAAGGCGCGGGGAAGUGCUGCGCUCACGAGCUGCGCGUGCAGUGGCGAUUGUAAUCUCUGUCUCCGAAGCUCCCGCGGUGUUCUCCGGCUGUACGCACGUGGUGCCCUUGGUCGUGUGUUCCUUCUCCUUCCACUGUUACUUCUCCUAUGCGCCGUCGGCACGUCCCCUUCUAUGGCACGAGACGCUGCUGUGCGCACAGGGCACAUGCUCACCUGCCCAUGCGUGCGCACACGCGCAAACGGAGAAGCGCAAACAUGCUGUGCGCUUCCCUGCGCACGCAAGUCGAACGCUCGACCAGAGCGGACAUGAAUGGCCCCCAGGCGUGCCCCAACAUCAUUAGCGGGUGUAUAGAGCGAAGCUCUGACCUCUUUUUUCCAACCGCACCACCACACCAUACUGAAGCCGAGACGUAUCCGACGUUGUAUACAAGGC